rnacentral:pre_miRNA from 1 species
UACUCAGGAAGGCAUUAUUCAUGUAUUUUGAUGUGUGAAUGGUACACUUCUGAGUAGA